GUGAACGCUGGCGGUAGGCCUAACCCAUGCCAGUCGCACGGCAGCACAGUAAGAGCUUGCUCUUACGGGUGGCGAGUGGCGGACGGGUGAGGAAUACAUCGGAAUCUACUUUUUCGUGGGGGAUAACGUAGGGAAACUUACGCUAAUACCGCAUACGACCUACGGGUGAAAGCAGGGGAUCUUCGGACCUUGCGCGAUUGAAUGAGCCGAUGUCGGAUUAGCUAGUUGGCGGGGUAAAGGCCCACCAAGGCGACGAUCCGUAGCUGGUCUGAGAGGAUGAUCAGCCACACUGGAACUGAGACACGGUCCAGACUCCUACGGGAGGCAGCAGUGGGGAAUAUUGGACAAUGGGCGCAAGCCUGAUCCAGCCAUACCGCGUGGGUGAAGAAGGCCUUCGGGUUGUAAAGCCCUUUUGUUGGGAAAGAAAAGCAGCAGGUUAAUACCCCGCUGUUCUGACGGUACCCAAAGAAUAAGCACCGGCUAACUUCGUG
rnacentral:rRNA from 1 species